ensembl:lncRNA
AUGCCUAGGGGCCAGGCAGCUGGCGGCGGAGGAAGGGAGCUGGGGGUGGGGGUGCAGGGGUUUGAGGAAACGGCUGGUCAGUCUGACAGUCUCUGUAUGCAGAUCUUCCUCUGGAUAGAAGAAGGAUGAGAGCAGUUUGAGAGAGGACAGACCAGAAGCAGAUUGCCAUUAGGAGCCGGCAGCCCUCUGCCUGCCCUCCAGGCCUCAAGAUGUUGGCCGGUCAGGCAUUGCGUGCACUUCCUGAUAUGUUUCCCCGCUUGUUCAUCAGUGACCCACAAUGCUGUCUUCCUUCAGCCUGAGUAUUUAGCCAAGCCUGGUAUUUUGUAUUCCCCUGGAAAUGUUUGGGGGAAUCUGGCAAUGCUAACUGAAGCACACAGUCCAUGUAAUUAACUGAGCUCUUAGAAAGUGCCAGGGACUUUCCUAGAAGCUGGGGAGCAAAAAUGGAGUAGAUGUUCAUAGUUCAGUGGAGGCGAUGGUUCCCAAGGCACCGCAGUGAGGGACGUAAGAGCGGCAUGGUGCACAGUGCCACGGGAAUGUAAAGGAAAGAUCAGUCAAUUCUGGAACCAAUCAGAUAGAACGGGAGAACGAAAGGGCAGCUGGGGAAGGCUGUCUGGGUCCAGAAGGAUGAUUAGGAGUUCAUCAGGUAGGAAAAGAAAGGAAAUGGAUUCUAGGCAGAGGGAUAAACUGGGCAAAGAUCCAGAGGCAAGACUCUGCACUGAAAAUGUGGAGAAGAGUGGUAUCCCAUGUGGCAGGGAUGAAUGGGGUGCGGAGAGCCCACGGGAAUGAGCCCUGCAGGGAGCGCGCACCACCCAGUUUGGAGCUCACACCCAUCACUGGGAGCCCCUGAAGGAUUCAGAGCAGGGGACUGAUGAUGGAAGAUGUGAGAACAGAAUUGGGGAGGGUAAAGCCCCAGAAAGCAAAGCACAGCUGCUGUGUUCCCGGCCUACCUGUCAGGGGCCCGCAGUCACCAUGGAGUCCUUGCCCACCUCCCACGAGGCCCAGUGUUUCUAAAGGCUCUUCCAGUCCAGAUCUGUUUUGGGAGGGGGCUCGGUAUCUGGGAAGGACUCGGUGGACUCAGCAGGGGUGUAGAUAUCCUGCAGCUCAGGGAUGCUGUGCCUCUCGGCACAAAGGUGGGAGCAGUGCCUCUUUGUAGGUAGUGCCCUGGACUGGACACAGGACAGGUGUGAAACCCAAGGGCCAGGCAGUUGGGCCAGGCCUUCUUAGCACCUCCAGGUGGGCAUGUGAUUUAAGGAGAACAUUUUCCUUCUCAAGGGAAGAAAUAAGGCUAUUGCUUGAAGGCAGGAGCUGAUUUCACCAGGUGUUCUUACACUGUUUGCUUCAGACUCUGAGAUCCAACUUAAAUCAGCAGCAGCAAUAAUCUCUCUUGGUUCAAUGGCCCAGGCUUUGCAUAAUCGAUACAAGCAGGGUCAUGACCCUUUCCUGUCAAGUGGUGAAUAUUUCUUCCAGGGAUCCCUUCAGACUGAAACAUCCUGCUCUUCCCCACAUGUGGGACUUCUGAACAAACUGUCAGAAGAAAACGUAAACACUGGUGGCCUAAAGCUGAUCCUCAGACAGCAGACAACCCCGCAGUAUAUCAAAGGCUAAUUCUGGGUAAUGCAGUAUCGCUGGAGGUUAUUUAGGUUGUUCUAGGUUUUUGAAAAAGUGUAUCCAGCUUGUUGAAGUCUAGCUGGCAACUGAAAUCGAGCUUCGGCCAACAAGAAUAUCAGUCCACUGAAGUGCUAACCGACAGAUGUGAUGUUUAGAGGGUGGUGUUCGCCCGAUUGCCCCUCCCACGCCCCAGUGCCGCUGUGGCAGGGUGUGGGAAGGGGCGUAGCUGCUCUCAUUGUACUAGAAGAGAGCUUGACUGGCUCCAUUUGUAGGGAAAGUAAAUUAUCUAUUUUCCCUGCCAUUGUAGGAAAUCACAACUUAAGGUGUAAAUCGAAAGACAAAGUGAGUGCCACCUCAUGGCACGAGCCAGCACAGGCCUACCCGCCCGCGUCCUGCCAGUACCGGUGCCCCCAGGAGCACGGUGGGGCAGGGGAGUUACUGGGCAGGGGAGGCUAGGCACGGGACGAAGGGCUGGGCUUCCCCCUGAGCGGUCCUGCCCACUUCCCAACUCUAUGUAUGAUCAGAAAUUCGCUUUGUCAAGAUGUGAACUGAAAUAAAUUUAAGCCUGG